rnacentral:lncRNA from 1 species
AUGCUGUGCUCUAACUUGCUCACAUAGUCUCUGCUGCUCUAGAGCUGAUUGUACCCGGGCCACUCCUCUUUGCUGGCAACGUAGGAGGAUCAUCUAGUCAGACUUGAUCGUCUCCAAGUGCCCUGUGCUUUUCUUCAAGUUCCAUUGUCACUGAAGUUGAGGGAGUUGAAAUGUCUUCGAAUUUAUACAAUAACUUCUAG